AAUGGGCGCAAGCCUGAUCCAGCCAUGCCGCGUGAGUGAUGAAGGCCUUAGGGUUGUAAAGCUCUUUCGUCAGGGAAGAUAAUGACGGUACCUGAAGAAGAAGCCCCGGCUAACUUCGUGCCAGCAGCCGCGGUAAUACGAAGGGGGCUAGCGUUGCUCGGAAUCACUGGGCGUAAAGCGCACGUAGGCGGCUUUCUAAGUCAGAGGUGAAAUCCCGGGGCUCAACCCCGGAACUGCCUUUGAUACUGGAGAGCUUGAGUUCGGGAGAGGUGAGUGGAACUGCGAGUGUAGAGGUGAAAUUCGUAGAUAUUCGCAAGAACACCAGUGGCGAAGGCGGCUCACUGGCCCGAUACUGACGCUGAGGUGCGAAAGCGUGGGGAGCAAA
rnacentral:rRNA from 1 species